CUCUCCCUCUCUGCAAGCUAUAAAUUCCCUGAGGCUGGAAACUAGACUAAGGGUGGUUGAUUUUACAAUGUAACUUUGAUGUAAUGGCAUCUCAGAAGUAGAUUUAUAACUAACCCUAAAGGUGAUAAUUGUAUUUUCACUGACAGCUCCUUGUGUAAGGCAAACUAAUAAACUUCUGUGGUGUAAA